GACGAACGCUGGCGGCGUGCUUAACACAUGCAAGUCGAACGGAAAGGCCCCUUUGGGGGUACUCGAGUGGCGAACGGGUGAGUAACACGUGAGUAACCUGCCCUUGACUUCGGGAUAACUUCAGGAAACUGGGGCUAAUCCCGGAUAGGAAUCCUUGCUGCAUGGUGGGGGUUGGAAAGCUUCGGCGGUUUUGGAUGGACUCGCGGCUUAUCAGCUUGUUGGUGGGGUAGUGGCUUACCAAGGCUUUGACGGGUAGCCGGCCUGAGAGGGCGACCGGCCACAUUGGGACUGAGAUACGGCCCAGACUCCUACGGGAGGCAGCAGUGGGGAAUAUUGCACAAUGGGCGGAAGCCUGAUGCAGCAACGCCGCGGGCGGGAUGACGGCCUUCGGGUUGUAAACCGCUUUCAGCAGGGGCGAAGCUUGUGGUGACGGUACCUGCAGAAGAAGCACCGGCUAACUACGUG
rnacentral:rRNA from 1 species